rnacentral:rRNA from 1 species
CCUACGGGAGGCAGCAGUGGGGGAUAUUGGGCAAUGUGCGCAAGCCUGAUCCAGCAACGCCGCGUGAAGGAAGAAGGCUUUCGGGUUGUAAACUUCUUUUGACAGGGAAGAGCAGAAGACGGUACCUGUCGAAUAAGCCACGGCUAACUACGUGCCAGCAGCCGCUGUAAUACGUAGGUGGCAAGCGUUGUCCGGAUUUACUGGGUGUAAAGGGCGUGUAGCCGGGCUGACAAGUCAGAUGUGAAAUCCGGGGGCUCAACCCCCGAACUGCAUUUGAAACUAGUGGUCUUGAGUAUCGGAGAGGCAGGCGGAAUUCCAAGUGUAGCGGUGAAAUGCGUAGAUAUUAGGAGGAACACCAGAGGCGAAGGCAGCCUGCUGGACGACAACUGACGGUGAGGCACGAAAGCGUGGGUAUCGAACAGGAUUAGAUACCCCGGUAGUC